rnacentral:rRNA from 1 species
AUGCACGCUGGCGGCGUGCCUAAUCCCUGCAAGUCGCGCGAACAGACGAGGAGCUUGCUCCUCUGACGUUAGCGGCGGACGGGUGAGUAACACGUGGAUAACCUACCUAUAAGACUGGAAUAACUUCGGGAAACCGGAGCUAAUACCGGAUAAUAUAUUGAACCGCAUAGUUCAAUAGUGAAAGACGGUUUUGCUGUCACUUAUAGAUGGAUCCGCGCCGCAUUAGCUAGUUGGUAAGGUAACGGCUUACCAAGGCAACGAUGCGUAGCCGACCUGAGAGGGUGAUCGGCCACACUGGAACUGAGACACGGUCCAGACUCCUACGGGAGGCAGCAGUAGGGAAUCUUCCGCAAUGGGCGAAAGCCUGACGGAGCAACGCCGCGUGAGUGAUGAAGGUCUUCGGAUCGUAAAACUCUGUUAUUAGGGAAGAACAAAUGUGUAAGUAACUAUGCACGUCUUGACGGUACCUAAUCAGAAAGCCACGGCUAACUACGUG